AUUGAACGCUGGCGGCAUGCCUUACACAUGCAAGUCGAACGGCAGCACGGGAGCAAUCCUGGUGGCGAGUGGCGAACGGGUGAGUAAUAUAUCGGAACGUGCCCAGUAGUGGGGGAUAACUGCUCGAAAGAGCAGCUAAUACCGCAUACGACCUGAGGGCGAAAGGGGGGGAUCGCAAGACCUCUCGCUAUUGGAGCGGCCGAUAUCAGAUUAGCUAGUUGGUGGGGUAAAGGCCUACCAAGGCAACGAUCUGUAGUUGGUCUGAGAGGACGACCAGCCACACUGGGACUGAGACACGGCUCAGACUCCUACGGGAGGCAGCAGUGGGGAAUUUUGGACAAUGGGCGCAAGCCUGAUCCAGCAAUGCCGCGUGCAGGAAGAAGGCCUUCGGGUUGUAAACUGCUUUUGUCAGGGAAGAAAUCCUCUAGGUUAAUACCCUUGGGGGGAUGACGGUACCUGAAGAAUAAGCACCGGCUAACUACGUGCCAGCCGCCGCGGUAACAC
rnacentral:rRNA from 1 species